GUAGCCACCGACAAAGCCGAGUUGUUUCUGUGCUUAUCUCAGUGUGAAAUUGGCCUGAAACUAAGUGUAGCUUUGAAGUAAGGGGGGUUAAGACCUCGUACGGCUUUAUGGUGAGGAUCCAGUGUGACGGUGGGGCCCCAGAGGUGCAAGGGAGAGCCAAAAUUGGGCACUGCUGCUGCUGCUUUUGCUGUUUUCUCUCUCAUAUGUGUAGGCAUGCCAUGUUUUCACUGGGCAAGACUUCCCCCCCAUCCAUUAGCCCAUUAAAAUACUGGUAAAAGGCAGCUUACAGGCUACAGCUGGCAUAAAUUGCGAAGGGGAGGCUCAGGUGCACUGCCUCCAUUGAGGGCAGUGGCAAAAUUCCCUUUGACUUCCCUACAGCCACAGAGUUCGCUUGAUGAAAGUCUCACAAAGCCUCUAAUUUGAUCGCUCCUCACUGAGCAGAAAUGCAGCCCACGCAUGCCUCGAACAAAAAGAGCAAUCACUGCUACAUUUAAUAGAUAUACGCUUUCCAGGACAGCUUUCUCCAACGCUUGUGCUGAGACCGUUCCUGCUUCACCCCACAGCUCUUCAGAUUCUCAAGUACGUCUCUGAAGCACCAAUGCAAUGGAACAAAGGCUUUAAGAGCCUGAAUCCCAACAGCAGUGAGGAGUGCUUUCAUAGACUGCCACAUCUCCAUGAAGGCAUGAGGAAGUAAACACUUCUGAGAGAAAACUCCACAUAAAGGCAACAGCAAUUGGCUCAGCCCCUGUCUUCCUACUCAGACACCACCACGUUAAGCACUACUCAGACGAUUACUUUAAGUUGCUUUAAGUACCUCUGGUUGUUUUCUGACUGGUUUCUGCUUUGGUUAUUGACUGCGAGUGGAAAGCCUGAAAUAUCAGACUUGGAAAGUCUGUUCUGUGGUUUAACCUUUCUUUUUUCUUCUUUUUUUUUUUUUUUUUUUUUUUCCCUCCUUCUUCUUUUUGUAUAUAAAAGACUUUUACUU